CGGAGGGUGCAAGCGUUAAUCGGAAUUACUGGGCGUAAAGCGCACGCAGGCGGUUUGUUAAGUCAGAUGUGAAAUCCCCGCGCUUAACGUGGGAACUGCAUUUGAAACUGGCAAGCUAGAGUCUUGUAGAGGGGGGUAGAAUUCCAGGUGUAGCGGUGAAAUGCGUAGAGAUCUGGAGGAAUACCGGUGGCGAAGGCGGCCCCCUGGACAAAGACUGACGCUCAGGUGCGAAAGCGUGGGGAGCAAACAGGAUUAGAUACCCUGGUAGUCCACGCUGUAAACGAUGUCGACUUGGAGGUUGUGCCCUUGAGGCGUGGCUUCCGGAGCUAACGCGUUAAGUCGACCGCCUGGGGAGUACGGCCGCAAGGUUA
rnacentral:rRNA from 1 species